GUGGCGACUCAGAUUAUCUCAUUCUUGUUGCUGGUUAAAGUUGGAAGAUUAAGGGAUUUGAAAUAAAAAGGCACCACAGAGAAGAUGCUAGUGCCAUUUUCCCUUGAUUUUAGGAAGAAGAUUGAAUCGGCAGUGCCCGAGUCUGUGCAGAUGACAUCGCCAUGGCGAAUUUGAUUUUGAUGUAGAACCUGAUUCUAGCUGAGGAGAAGCACAUACCGAGUUGGGUUUCAUGUGUAAAGUAAUAACUCUCUUUUCUUAUUCUAGAAUUUCAUUUGUAAGAUAAGUAAUUAGUAGAAGCAGACCUAUAGAUCCUUCAUCUUGUAUGCUAUGUACAUAGGCCCUAUUGCUAAACAUGAUACAUUGAAUCAGGCAUAAUUGAGUCCAGAUUUAAUGUGAUAUCCCAAUGCAUGACAUUUUAAUUUCCCCAACUUAGGUGUUUUUGAAGCUCCAAACUCCAGUGGAACAUAAGUAGAAUUGUCAUUAUUGUUUUAACAUUCACCUAUUUAUUUAUUUCUUUGCUUUCCCUUGGUCA